rnacentral:lncRNA from 1 species
GUACAGAUGGUCCAGUCCUCGGCGCGAGCUCCCCCGCCCGCUCUCCCCGGCGAGGCCACAGUCCGGGCAGGAGAGGGAACAGCCCAGCCUCGGGAAGAUUCUUCCGUCCGAGUGAGGUCACCUGCAUGACGCCGGGCAGCGCGUGGAGCAGUGAAGAUCCACCGUGCCGCCCCGCACCCCCAAGGUCGCCCAGCACGGUCCUCACCUGGAGGCCUGCACUAGCAGGAAUAGGUCCGGACCGAAACGCCGUCUGCCCGGGAACUCCCAGAAGUCUGGCCUGGAGGGAGAGCGAGCAGCGGUUCAGCCUGGAGCACCCUCCUCCCUGUUCCUCUCCAGGAUUCCUCCCUUUGGACUUCCCUUCCCGAUGUCACAACGAUCGCCGGGCUCCACAUGGGUUUCCCUCCCUUCCCCGCAGCCAAGGACUCAAACUCGCAUUGGGCGAGUUCACUCCCGCCCUGGGAAGGGGGAGUGGGAUUUAUCCAUUUCAUCCUGACGGGGGAGUCCGGAACGUUGGAGCAGUCCAUUCCUCAGGGGUGGGCGAGAAAGGACUAGGCCAUUCCAGAACCCGGACUACUGAGGUGGUCCAUGCCCCACCCUAGGGAAGCGAGGAAGGGCUGUCGCAUUUGGGAGCCCCCCACCUUCUGGCUGCAGCUUGCGGAGAGGGAGCCCCGGAGAGCCCAGGGCUCCCGCUGCAGCCGAACGAAAGUUGGGGGGCAACAUCUCAGCUGAGUCGGGAGUUACGCCUCGGAGGUCCUUCUCCCGGAACAUCUUCCGCCAGGAUGGGGAGCGGCUGAAAGACUUGGCGCUGUCCUAGGUAUAGGAGCCGGACAGCCGGUGAGGGACUCCUGCCUUGUCUGACUCCGCCCCUUCCUUUGACUCCACCCCUCUCCGGGUCUCACCUCUCCUUUAACCCCGCCCCUCUCCUGGCCCCGCCUCCAACCGUGACCAUUAAUAGUCAGGCCCCGCCCCCUCAGCUCAGCCUCUCGAGGAGCCGCUGGGAGCAGAGCCCUCUGAGCUGUUGCCGCGCCCACCUCGUCCAGCCGCCUGUCUGUGCCUAAGGAGAUAAGGUUGCUGAAUUCCUUCUCCAGAAGCUGCCGGGCCUGGAAAGAGGAGGUGGAGGGGGCGGUUGGAGCGUGCAGUCUGCGAGGUGGGGACGCCCAGCAUGCUCCGGGCCCAGCGGCAGCUCACCUGUGCAUUCUGCGUGGGGAUCUGCAGGAGCAAGGCCAGGUCGGAGUAGUCGAAGGUCUCGUCCAGGGCGAGCAGUGCCCCGUGUACCCCGCUCUCCGUGAGGUUCGUGGCAAAUUCCUUCAGGCCCAGCCCGGACACCCAACCCAUGACCCGCUCAUUGGACCACACCAUCACGUCUGGGGACGGAAGGGACCCUCAGCCGUGCCCCUCCCGUGGCCUGGAGAGUUCAGUUUAGCCCAUACCUCCACCUCCAUUUGGUCUCUUCGGGCCACGCCCCCCACGCUGGCUCCACCCCCACGGUUAUGGUGCCAAUUUGCUUCUCCGGUCUCCCCCUACCCCCUCUCCUCCCCAUCCAGCUCCACGCCCUCCACCUGGCUCCCAAAGGGACCCUUAGGCUCUACUCACCUCGGAUCUGGGUCUGACUUUCUUCCCGCCUCCGCUCCAGGUCCUUCCGGUCAUAGUUGAGCCGUUUCAGGCACAUAAUCCCAUAAUGUAGACUCACCCUGAGCAGCAGGGGAAGUGGAGUCACGGAUGAGCUUUCCAGUCCCCUAGACUGCUGCUCCUACGGGUCCCUCCCCACUGGCUGCGCUCUUCUUGGAAAGGGUGGGGAGCUGAUAAGUUCUAUUGACUGUUGACCCCCUCAGGAGGUGAGGCAUUUUCAAUAAUAGGCACUUCCUACUGGCCAGCCUGGAAGGGGUCCAGGGUUAACUAGCCAAGCCAUUUCAGGAUCUGAACUUUUCCUGUGGACCAUCUCAUUGGUGAAAGGAGCACAGAGUCAGGAUUUCCUGAGAACUCAGGCUAAAAGGGCCAAGAUAAGCCUGGGAAUCUCCCAUGGCCAAUCCUAUUGGCCAAAGACUCUCUGGGGUGGGGCUUCCCUUUGGACUGUCCCCACUGGCCAGGCAGCCCCCACCUGUGAAAGCUGUCCACCAUCUUGAGUUGGCCCCGGAGCUCCUUCUUGUUAAGGUGAUCUAACAUUCGAGCGUCCACCAGCGACUCCAUGAAGUAGCUGCGGUAUUGGGGCAGCCCCAGGCUGGGCAGCCAGUCGUUCCCCACCCACUCGUGGUUCAUGUCGCCAUAUGCCAGGAUCUGGGGCCAUGGGCAGGUGAGGGAAGAGUCAGGCCCUCUGGCCCCUUCCCACUGUGCAUGAGAGGGGUACAGUCCAACCUCCCAAUCCAAGGUUUUUUCCCACCCCAUGGUAGGACAAUGACCAAUCUCUGCUCAGGAUAAUGGACCAAUCCAGAGUUGUCUCCUAGCCCUUCAUGACAGCAUAUACUCUUGGCUACUCAAACAGUUGUCCUGAGACCUAGAGCGUCACCAUCACCUGUGGACUUGCUGGAAUUGCAGAAUCUCAGACCUUACUCCAGACCUACUGAAGUCGGUAUCGGCAUUUUCACAAGACCCUCAGGUGAUUCGAAAUAUACAUUAUAUUUAUUUUUAAAUUUCUUUCUUUCUCUCUUUCUCUCUCUCUCUCUCUCUCUCUCUUUCUGAAAGAGUCUGCUAUGUCACCCAGGCUGGAGCGCGGUGGCACGAUCUCGUCUCACUGCAACCUCCCCAUCCCAGGUUCAAGCAAUUCUCUUGCCUCAGCCUUCGAGUAGCUGGGAUUACAGGUACGAGCCACCACGCCCGGCUAAUUUUUGUAUUUUUUAGUAGAGACGGCGUUUCACCAUGUUGGCCAGGCUGGUCUCAAACUCCUGACCUCAAGGGAUCCGCCCACCUCAGCCUCCCAACGUGCUGGGAUUACAGGCAUGAGCCACCGCGCCUGGCUGUAUUUGUUUAUUUUUUAGAGACAGGGUCUUACUAUGUUGCCCAGGUUGACCUCAGCUUCGUGGGCUCAAGCGGUCCUCCUGCCUCAGUCUUCCAAGUAGCUGAGACUACAGGUGUGUGCCACCCCACUACACAUUAAAUUUGGGGAAGCACUGCUUUAACUCUGUCUCACUGCAGUCCAACGUCACUAAACCCCCAAGUCAGGACAAUGGACUCUUUCAAGGCAGCUCUCCCACUAAGAAAGGGCCAUCACUCUUGCAAUGUCCUGAAAAUACUUGUCUAAUGUUAUAUCUGGCCCAGGACAAUAUUCCAGAUGAGUCCCAAGUCCCUCACUCCUUUCAGCAUCAGCACAAAAUCCACGCCUCCCCCUGGCUGGAAAUAUGUGAUCUAUGACCACAGUCAAACAUAAUUCCUCCGUGGACAGUGAGUUCAUGCCUCUUGGGUUUUUUUGUUAGUUUAUUUGUUUGGUUUUUAUGAGAUGGAAUCUGGCUCUAUCACCCAGGCUGGAGUACAAUGGUGCAAUCUCGGCUCAGUGCAACCUCUACCUCCUGGGUUCAAGCGAUUCUCCUGCCUCAGCCUCCCAAGUAGCUGGGAUUACAUACGCUAGCCACUGCACCCGGCUAAUUUUUGUAUUUUUAGUAGACACAGGGUUUCACCAUGUUGGCCAGACUGGUCUCAAACUCCUGACCUCAGGUGAUCUGCCCACCUCAGCCUCCUAAAGUGCUGGAAUUACAGGCGUGAGCCACUGCGCCCGGCCGCCUCUUGUUUCUUGAGAACAAAGUGUAGCUCCUCCUCCCCAACUUCUCAUUCAGCCUGGCUGCCUCACCACCACCACAGCCAGUGUGUCCUCCUUGGCCCUGGUACACUGAGCAGUCCACUGUAGCCCCCGCCCCCUCCACUAUAGGGACACCGGCUGCUCAGUCUCUCCUGAGCUACAGAAUUGAAGCCCCUUAGAGCCCCCACAACCCACGAUGAUGAAAUGGUCCAUGCAUAAGGCUGACUAUGCAACAGUCUGGGCUUCCACAUCGCAUCCCCUCUACCCUCCCCACCGCCAAGCCAUAAUGGAACAGUCCAGAGCCAAGCUUGGCGCAGCGCCCCCCCAUGGGGAUGAUGGCAUGUUCUGGUGAAGGCAGGGGCAGGGCUCGGAGGAGGGGCAUCCAUGCGUCGUGCACAGCCUGUUCAUGCGCUCACGCCCCGCCCCGCGCCCCCUACCUGCUCCCAGCUGAUCUCCUUGGUCUCCUGACCCGUUAGUAGGAAGAGGGGAGAGAAGGGGUGAGUUAAGGGGCAGGCAGAGGAGGACGCAAGGAGCGGACUUAGGGAUGGCCACAGACUCGGUCCCCGCCCCCACCCCCAAAGAAGGUUAGUGCCACCCCCAAGGCGGCCGGCAGGGGGCACUCACGGGCUUGGUCGUGGCCGUAAGGGACUCCAUCUCCUCGUGUGUCAUCCACACGUUUCCUGUGGACUGAGGGGCAGGGAGUGUUAAUGGAUGGUGGGAGAGGGCUUCGCGUGGGGGAGAGGAAGGAGGGUGUCCUCCUGAAGGCCCUGGGCCACACGUUUAUGUCCCUCCUGCUUUCUGGGGCAAGCAGUAACAGAGAAAAGGAAUGAUUCUUAUUAUAGGGCACCUGCCAUGUACCAGGCAAUGUGACUUUGGAGUUGAACAAAUUCAGGUUGGAAUUGGGACCCUGCCAUGCAUUUUGCUGUGUGGCCCUGUGCAAAUGACGUCACCUCGCUGACCUCACACAGAGGUACAGAAUGAGGAUUCAGAAGUGGGGGACAGACACAGCCAUGGUGCAAAUGUUUAGGGAGUAUGGCGGGGGGGGUUCACAUUUAUUGAGCUUCUGCUCCCAACAACCUCACGAGUUAGGAAUCCAUACAAGGAUAAAAACAUUUAUGUACUUCUGGUGAGUGUCAGGCACCAGUCACCGUCAUAGGGUGUGGGAUAUGGCAAGGGACACGACAGACACUUUUCGUCCUAGUGGGGGAGAAACAAUGAACAUAUUUUAAGUAUGUUGGGGAAAUUUGAAUACAGAGUGAAUAGUAAAUGAAAUUAACAACUGUGGCCAGGCGUGGUGGCUCACACCUGUAGUGCCAGCACUUUGGGAGGCUGAGGCGGGCACAUCACUUUUGGAGAUUGAAGACUAGCCUGGCCAACCUGGAGAAACCCCAUCUCUACUAAAAAUACAAAAAUUAGGCUGAGAGUGGUCUAGCACUUCGGGAGGCAGAGGCGGGUGGAUCACCUGAGGUCAGGAGUUCAAGACCAGCCUGGCCAACGUUGGUGAAACCCUAUCUCUACUAAAAAUACAAAAAUUAGCUGGGCAUGGUGGCGUGUGCCUUUAAUCCCAGCUACUCAGGAGGCUGAGGCAGGAGAAUCACUUGAACCAGGGAGACGGAGGUUGCAGUGAGCCAAGAUCGCACCACUGCACUCCAGCCUGGGCGACAGAGUGAAACUCCAUCUCAAAAAAAAAAAAAAAAGAAAGAAAAGAAAAGAAAAAGAAAUUAACAACAAUGUGAAUGCCCUUAGGUGUGAUAAAGGAUGUGGUGUUUACAAGGAAGAAAAAGACCCACUAAAGUAAUUUUGGGGGCUAAGAUGUUAUGACUUUCUCCAAUUACAUUCAAGUACAGGUCUCUGAGCAUCCCCAACCUGAAAAUCCAAAAUCCAAAAUGCUCCAAAAUUCUAAACUUUUUUUUUUUUGGAUGCACUCUUUCUCUGUCACCCAGGCUGCAGUACAGUGGGACAAUCACAGCUCACUGCAGCCUCGACCUCCUGGGCUCAAAGGAUCCUCCCACCUCAGCCUCCUGAGUAGCUAGGACUACAGGUAUACGCCACCACACCCGACUAAUUUUUGUAUUUUUAGUAGAGAUGGGGUUUUGCCAUGUUGCCCAGGCUGGUCUCGAACUCCCGGGUUCAAGAGAUCGGCCAUCCAAAGCCUCCCAAAAUGCUGGAAUUACAGGUGUGAGCCACAGUGCUUGGCCCUAAACUUACGUGCUGACACGAAGCCACAAGAGGAAAAUCCCCCACCUGACCUCAUGUGACAAGUCACAAACAAAAUGCAGUCAAAACUUUGUUUCAUGCACAAAGCUAUUUAAAAUAUUGUAGGCCGGGCACGGUGGCUCACGCCUGUAAUCCCAGCACUUUGGGAGGCUGAGGCAGGUGGAUCACGAGGUCAGGAGUUCAAGACCAGCCUGGCCAAGAUGGUGAAACCCCAUCUCUACUAAGAAUACAAAAAUUAGCAGGGCGUGGUGGUGGGCGCCUAUAAUCCCAGCUACUCGGAAGGUUGAGGCAGAGGAUUGGAAUUGCUUGCACCCAGGAGGCAGAGGUUGCAGUGAGUCGAGGUCGCACCAUUGCACUCCAGCCUUGGCGACAAAGCAAGACUCCCAUCUCGAAAAAAUAAAAUAAAAAUAAAAAAUAAAAUAUUGUAUAAAAUUCUUUUUAGGCAUGUGUAUGAGAUGCAUAUGAAACAUAAAUGAAUUUCAUGUUUAGGCUUGGCUCCCAUCCCCAAGAUAUUUCAUUUAUAUGCAAAUAUUCAAAAAAAACUUUUUAAAAUCAGAAAUUCUAAACACUUCUGGUCCCACGUAUUUCAAGUAAGGGACACUCAACCUGUACUCCCCACUCCCCGCCUCCACCCCACACACACAACAGAGCAAGUACAGCAAAAGUUUGAGAAUCGCUGAACUGGGUACACAUGAUUUUCUGUAUGUUUGAAAUGUCUCGUAAUCAAAAGUUGGAACGAGGGCCAGGCGUAGGGGCUCACGCCUGUAAUCUCAACACUUUGGGAGGCCGAGGCGGGCGGAUCACCUGAGGUCGGGAGUUCAAGACCAGUCUGGCCAACGUGUCAAAACCCUGUCUCUACUAAAAAUACAAAAAUUAACUGGGCGUGGUGGCGGGCGCCUGUAAUCCCAGCUACUCAGGAGGCUGAGACAGGAGAAUGGCUUGAACCCGGGAGGCAGGGGUUGCAGUGAGCGGAGAUAGCGCCAUUGCACUCCAGCCUGGACAACAAGAGCGAAACUCUGU